GUUGGAGUUAGGGUUAGUGUUGGAGCUAGGGUUAGGGUUGGGCUUGGAGCUAGGAUUUUUCUGAGUGCAAUGAACCAACUCCCGAGUCUCUAGGACGUUCCUAAAAAAAAUUGAUUUUUUCCCAUAGGAAUGCAUGGGUAAGGGUUAGGGUUAGGGUUGGAGCUAGGGUUAGGGUUAGGGUUAGGGUUGGAGUUAGGGUUAGUGUUGGAGCUAGGGUUAGGGUUGGGCUUGGAGCUAGGAUUUUUCUGAGUGCAAUGAACCAACUCCCGAGUCUCUAGGACGUUCCUAAAAAAAAUUGUUUUUUUUCCAUAGGAAUGCAUGGGUUAGGGUUAGGGUUAGGGUUGGAGCUAGGGUUAGGUGUGGGGUUGGAGUUAGGGUUAGUGUUGGAGUUAGGGUUAGUGUUGGAGCUAGGGUUAGUGUUGGAGCUAGGGUUAGGGUUGGGCUUGGAGCUAGGAUUUUUCUGAGUGCAAUGAACCAACUCCCGAGUCUCUAGGACGUUCCUAAAAAAAUUUGAUUUUUUCCCAUAGGAAUGCAUGGGUUAGGGUUAGGGUUGGAGCUAGGGUUGGAGCUAGGGUUAGGGUUGGAGUUCGGGUUAGUGUUGGAGCUAGGGUUAGGGUUGGGCUUGGAGCUAGGAUUUUUCUGAGUGCAAUGAACCAACUCCCGAGUCUCUAGGACGUUCCUAAAAAAAUUUGAUUUUUUCCCAUAGGAAUGCAUGGGUUAGGGUUAGGGUUAGGGUUGGAGCUAGGGUUAGGGUUAGGGUUAGGGUUGGAGUUAGGGUUAGUGUUGGAGCUAGGGUUAGGGUUGGGCUUGGAGCUAGGAUUUUUCUGAGUGCAAUGAACCAACUCCCGAGUCUCUAGGACGUUCCUAAAAAAAUUUGAUUUUUUCCCAUAGGAAUGCAUGGGUUAGGGUUAGGGUUAGGGUUGGAGCUAGGGUUAGGGUUAGGGUUAGGGUUGGAGUUAGGGUUAGUGUUGGAGCUAGGAUUAGGGUUGGGCUUGGAGCUAGGAUUUUUCUGAGUGCAAUGAACCAACUCCCGAGUCUCUAGGACGUUCCUAAAAAAAAUUGAUUUUUUUCCAUAGGAAUGCAUGGAAAAAAAAAAUUGAAAAAUUUUCUAAUUGCCAACCCAAUUUUUCACCUUCCAGAAUUGUGUUAGGAGCACGUUUCAGGGCAUGGGGAGUCUAUAGAACUUAAUUCUGG